rnacentral:lncRNA from 1 species
AAUUUGUCAGUUUCUCAUGGCUUCAUAAUUAUGAUUUUUACAGGCAAAAAUGUAUGUGAAAUAAUUUUAAAUGCACACAACCAAACAAUUGAUCAUCAAAGCUGCCAUCCUGAGGUAAAGUUCCAAUCUUCUGCUAGUUUUACCUUUCUUCUGGUUGAUCUGUCUUGCAUGUGAAUAACAAUGGAAGGAAUUGGAGGUGAAGGAUAUGAAUUCUAUGUGAAAUUAAGAAAGUAAAAGAAGCUCACAUCUUAUUCAUCAUACCGUUUAGUCUUGUCCAAUGCUGGCUCUUGGCCUACAAUUUGCUAGAAAUUGCACUAUCUAAAAGCCAACCUUUCUUUACCCUACCUCCCCUCUCUCCUCCAGGUGGACAGUUGUGAAAAAUAUAGUGAUAUACACACAAAUAAAAUGUAACAUUUUUAUAGUUGGAUAGUGAACUGCAUAUCUAAUUCCAAUUUAUCAACAGUGAUGGAAUAUUGGACACUGCCCAAAAAUUUCUAAACAGAGCUAGGAGAUGAGGUUGUUCUUGCAGAUUGCCAAAUAGAGAACCUCGUGCUGCCCAGGUUAUUGAUACUUUAUUCUUGGAUUAUUACCCAUUUCUUUUCUUAUAAAUGGGGCAAACAUUUGUCUGGAUGUAAAUUAGUACGCAUAUCGUAUGUAUGUAAGUUAUUUGGAUACAAGAAAUUGAGUAUGAACAGAUGUAAAAUCUGUUACUGUACACGUGCGUGCACACACGCGUACACAACCCCAUCUGGUACAAUGAAUUUCUUGAUCUUAUUCUUAUGGUGCACAUUGAACUGAAAUUAGGAUCCAGGUGGAGAGAUACAAAUUUUCAUAUAUAUGAUUUUAUGCAAAAACAUUACAGUGGAGGAAAUUCAUACAGUGGAAAUAUAAUCUAAUUUCUUCUUGUUUGCUAGGAUGAUGAAACAUAUGUACUUACUAACUAGGUCUGUUUCCCGGACCUACCCACUCGUAUUCUGCAUGAUGAUAUCUACACCUGAACGAACCUGGGUGGCGCGUUGGUGAACACACACAUCUUUUCAUUCCUCCACCACUGCCACUGUUAGCCCCAGCUGUAUUAACUGUUUCUCGCUGUCUUUCAACCUCUACCACAGCUGGUGGUGAUGGUGGUAUCACAGGAGAAACUACUCUCCCCCGUUGAGGACUGGCCUGGUUGUACAGACCCACCCAAUCUGCACCCGGGUAACACAUCUCUUGUUGCAAGAAGGAAUGGUUUUACGUUCAACAAGAGAGAAUAUAACCAGGGAGAAUCAUAGGAUUAUAGCCCAAGGAAAGCAAAUGAAAGGAUGGCAUAGAAGAAACGUAGGGGUGAGGUGAGGUGGCAUGACGUAGGGGUAUAAUUUGUAAAUAAAAGCUUGGGGAUAUUGUUUGUUAAAAAGGUGUGGUUUGAUUCUCAGAAAGGGAUUGCUUUUGGACAUAACCUUUUGCAUAUUCUGCCCUGUGAGAGAGUAAUUAAGGAUGUGGUGACUGAUCAAAAGAGACUUGCCACCACUUGUGAAGUGACAAGUUGAGAAUUUUAUUAUUAUUUUUUAUUUAGAAAGUUUGGAAAAGGUUAGGGGAGAAAAUUUUGAAACCCAUUUUUCCUUUUCGUUUUUUCCUUUGUUCCUCAUCAUUUUAUUAGGGGAGGGGAUUUUGUGACAUUAAGGGUGCGUUUGAUUACAAGUAGGAAAAUUACAUGUAAAGAAAAUGAAUUCCAG